rnacentral:rRNA from 1 species
CCUCGGGUGGCUGCAGUGGGGAAUAUUGGACAAUGGGCGAAAGCCUGAUCCAGCCAUGCCGCGUGUGUGAAGAAGGCCUUCGGGUUGUAAAGCACUUUCAGUGGGGAAGAAAGCCUUGGGGCUAAUACCCUCGAGGAAGGACAUCACCCACAGAAGAAGCACCGGCUAACUCCGUGCCAGCAGCCGCGGUAAUACGGAGGGUGCGAGCGUUAAUCGGAAUUACUGGGCGUAAAGCGCGCGUAGGCGGUCUGAUAAGCCGGUUGUGAAAGCCCCGGGCUCAACCUGGGAACGGCAUCCGGAACUGUCAGGCUAGAGUGCAGGAGAGGAAGGUAGAAUUCCCGGUGUAGCGGUGAAAUGCGUAGAGAUCGGGAGGAAUACCAGUGGCGAAGGCGGUCUUCUGGACUGACACUGACGCUGAGGUGCGAAAGCGUGGGUAGCAAACAGGAUUAGAUACCCCAGUAGUC